AUGUGGUGCUCGUACACUCCGGUUCCCGCCCGCCGUCCGCACCCACGUCGCAGUUGCUCGCUACGUUGUUUAGCC
rfam:Xanthomonas oryzae pv. oryzae KACC10331, complete genome.